GCGGAUAUGGUCAAAUGGUAAAA
rnacentral:tRNA from 52 species